AUUGAACGCUGGCGGCAUGCCUUACACAUGCAAGUCGAACGGUAACGCGGGGCAACCUGGCGACGAGUGGCGAACGGGUGAGUAAUGCAUCGGAACGUGCCUGGUAGUGGGGGAUAACUGCUCGAAAGAGCAGCUAAUACCGCAUACGACCUGAGGGUGAAAGGGGGGGGAUCGCAAGACCUCUCGCUAUCAGAGCGGCCGAUGUCGGAUUAGCUAGUUGGUGGGGUAAAGGCCCACCAAGGCGACGAUCCGUAGCUGGUCUGAGAGGACGACCAGCCACACUGGGACUGAGACACGGCCCAGACUCCUACGGGAGGCAGCAGUGGGGAAUUUUGGACAAUGGACGCAAGUCUGAUCCAGCCAUGCCGCGUGCAGGAAGAAGGCCUUCGGGUUGUAAACCGCUUUUGUCAGGGAAGAAAUCUUCUGGGUUAAUACCUCGGGAGGAUGACGGUACCUGAAGAAUAAGCACCGGCUAACUACGUGCCAGCAGCCGCAGUAA
rnacentral:rRNA from 1 species